AGAGUUUGAUCCUGGCUCAGAUUGAACGCUGGCGGCAUGCCUUACACAUGCAAGUCGAACGGUAACGCGGGGGCAACCCUGGCGACGAGUGGCGAACGGGUGAGUAAUACAUCGGAACAUAUCCAGUAGCGGGGGAUAACCUAUCGAAAGAUGGACUAAUACCGCAUACGAUCUACGGAUGAAAGCAGGGGACCGCAAGGCCUUGCACUAUUGGAGUGGCCGACGUCGGAUUAGCUAGUUGGUGAGGUAAAGGCUUACCAAGGCGACGAUCCGUAGCUGGUCUGAGAGGACGAUCAGCCACACUGGAACUGAGACACGGUCCAGACUCCUACGGGAGGCAGCAGUGGGGAAUUUUGGACAAUGGGCGCAAGCCUGAUCCAGCCAUGCCGCGUGAGUGAAGAAGGCCUUCGGGUUGUAAAGCUCUUUCGGUGAAGACGAAACGGUUAGCGCUAAUAACGCUGACUAAUGACGGUACUCACAGAAGAAGCACCGGCUAACUACGUGCCAGCAGCCGCGGUAAUACGUAGGGUGCAGGCGUUAAUCGGAAUUACUGGGCGUAAAGCGUGCGCAGGCGGUUUGCUAAGACAGGUGUGAAAUCCCCGAGCUUAACUUGGGAAUUGCGCUUGUAACUGGCAAGCUAGAGUGUGGCAGAGGGGGGUGGAAUUCCACGUGUAGCAGUGAAAUGCGUAGAUAUGUGGAGGAACACCGAUGGCGAAGGCAGCCCCCUGGGUUAACACUGACGCUCAUGCACGAAAGCGUGGGGAGCAAACAGGAUUAGAUACCCUGGUAGUCCACGCCCUAAACUAUGUCAACUAGUUGUCGGGGAAGAAAUUCCUUGGUAACGAAGCUAACGCGUGAAGUUGACCGCCUGGGGAGUACGGCCGCAAGGUUAAAACUCAAAGGAAUUGACGGGGACCCGCACAAGCUGUGGAUUAAUUCGAUGCAACGCGAAAAACCUUACCUACCCUUGACAUACUAGGAAGCCCGCAGAGAUGUGGGUGUGCCCGAAGGGGAACCUAGACACAGGUGCUGCAUGGCUGUCGUCAGCUCGUGUCGUGAGAUGUUGGGUUAAGUCCCGCAACGAGCGCAACCCUUGCCAUUAGUUGCUACAUUUAGUUGGGCACUCUAAUGGGACCGCCGGUGACAAACCGGAGGAAGGUGGGGAUGACGUCAAGUCCUCAUGGCCCUUAUGGGUAGGGCUUCACACGUAAUACAAUGGUCGGUACAGAGGGCUGCCAACCCGCAAGGGGGAGCUAAUCCCAGAAAGCCGAUCGUAGUCCGGAUUGUAGUCUGCAACUCGACUGCAUGAAGCCGGAAUCGCUAGUAAUCGCGGAUCAGCAUGUCGCGGUGAAUACGUUCCCGGGUCUUGUACACACCGCCCGUCACACCAUGGGAGUGGGUUCCACCAGAAGUAGUUAGCCUAACCGCAAGGAGGGCGAUUACCACGGUGAGAUUCAUGACUGGGGUGAAGUCGUAACAAGGUA
rnacentral:rRNA from 1 species